rnacentral:sRNA from 1 species
AAGCAGUGGGGAGCUGUGGCACUCAGAGUCCCCGUUCUCACCCCGCCCAUGUGGCACCUGGCCUUGCAUGAGAGAGGCAUGUGGGCACACCUGCGGAGGGGGCGUCCGAGCGGGAGUGAGAAGGCUAACCUGUCGGGUGGGGUUAGAAUGUGGGGGUGUCGGUCUGGAGGAAACUGCUCUCUCCUCACCCCUUGUUUGACCCACAGAAAUGGGAUAAUUUCCUGACCCUGUUUAGGACUUCCAGACCAGGGCAAGAGGAGCCUCAGAGCCUUUUGUUAGAAAAUAUAAGUGUCUUCUCAGAACCUGAAGUGAGAAGGAAGAGCCCUGACUCCAGCUUUGGAACCAAUCCAUGCUGCUGUGUUCCUCUGGGGAGUUUGGGAUCAUAGCAACAGGGUGGAGGGAGAAUUCAACUCUUGCUCACCUGCUGCUCUGGGCUGAGCUCUGCACAGCCCACGCCACUGAUGCCAAAGCGUUAGCCACGUUGGCAAGGAUGGGGACUGCCUCCUGCUCAGCCCCUCGCAGUCUCUGUCAGGCUUGUUUUUUGGGGUGACACUAGAAGGUUGUGUCUCCUCCUUCCACAGCCUCAGUGAUUCCUAACCCUUUUGACUUCACUUUUUGAAAUGGGAUCAUAGAGCAAGUUGUUGAAAACUAGGCCUGGAGUCCUGUGAAAAGCUUUUCUCACUGCUGGCAGCCAGGCCCUGUAGCUGUGGAGCUGGAAAUGAACUUCCACCAGGCUGUGUCCCUGGGGAGGGAAGCUGCAGGAGUGCGGCUGGCUACUCCAAGACCCUGGCAUGAGGCUGAGGACAACUUACAAGGGCUUCACCGAAGCAGUGGACCUUUAUUUUGACCACCUGAUGUCCAGGGUGGUGCCACUCCAGUACAAGCGUGGGGGACCUAUCAUCGCCGUGCAGGUGGAGAAUGAAUAUGGUUCCUAUAAUAAAGACCCCGCAUACAUGCCCUACGUCAAGAAGGCACUGGAGGACCGUGGCAUUGUGGAACUGCUCCUGACUUCAGACAACAAGGAUGGGCUGAGCAAGGGGAUUGUCCAGGGAGUGCUCCUGGAAUCCCUACAGGCCUAAGCAGUUGCCUGCUAGCAGCACCCCUGGCCUGCAUUGCUGCAGUAGCAUUUUCACUGUUGACUCCAUAAUGUGUUCUCAGCAUAUCAGCCUCCGCGUGCCUCUGAAAAUGUCGUCCAGAUUACCCUAUCCUGCUGAACGCCAGGCAUCUCUGUCGCACUCAGAGUGAAGCGCAGGUUCUGGGAAUGACCACGAAAGGCCUCUCCACUUGGCCUCCAGGACCCAGCUGAGCUCACCUCCUGCUCCUUCCCUUUGCUCACACCGUUUCACCCUCUUUACUGUUCCUCCAACAUCCGGAUCCCCAGCCUUGGGGGCUUUGCUCUUCUUCCAGAGAGCUACAUGGCUGUUCUCCGAAGUUAGCGAGGCUUUCUGUAGCACCACACUUGAAAUUGAACUUCCUCCUUCGUGGGGCUCACUCAAUCCUUCUCCCUGCUUUCUUUUCGCCCUCUCACCUUCCGGACCGAGCUGCUGGAAGAUCUCUCUAUAUCCCUGCAGCAGCGCCUAGCUGGCACCCAGGGAGUGAAGGUCCAUGAAUGGCGAGGAAAAGGCUUUUGUCCCCAGGCAGAGUUAGUCAAGGACCCAGACCUCGUGUCUCCGGCAUGGGGGGGACCAGCAGUGAUUCCCACGGCUUCCACGCGGUGGCGCUGUCUCCCCACGGCUGCUUCCAAGGCCUGCUCCAGGCUGCGCAGGGCUGUGGCUGUGUAGGGAGACUCCUGAUGCUGGAGCGCAUUUUAGCGCUUGGCGGCCUCCCGGUUUCAGGCCUUGCAAGGAAGCCCGGGAGUCGUCACUGCUUUUCCCUGUGGCCCUCCCACCUCCAGGCACCCACCUGCGUGCCCCUGUUGCCACCUGCUGCCCGGAAUAACUUCUUUUUUUUUUUAAUUAAAAAAAUUAAAUGGUCUAAAAGUGAAAUAAUCGAAAAUGUUGGUAGAGAAAUACAGUGUUGCCUACGCUUCGUUACAUUCUCCAGAAAUGACCAUUUUCAACUCUUUGACUUUUUCUUUGGAUAUUUUCCUUCUUAUUUCUAAAUACUGUGAACAUACAGCCCUGCAUCGUUUGCUUUAAAAGUUCUGCCUAUUGGCCGGGCAGUGGCUCAGGCCUGUCAUCCCAGCACUGUGGGAGGCCGAGGCGGGCGGAUCACCUGAGGUCAGGAGAUCGAGACCAGCCUGCCCAACAUGGCGAAACCCUGUCUCUACUGAAAAUACAAAAAAUUAGCCGGGUGUGGUGGCGGGUGCCUGUAGUCCCAGCUACUCGGGAGCUGAGGCAGGAGAAUCCAUGAACCCGGGUGGCGGAGUUUGCAGUGAGCCGAGAUCGCGCCACUGCACUCCAGCCUGGACGACAGAGUGAGACUCCGUCUCAAAAAAAAACAAAAACCAAAAAACAUUAGCCGAGCGUGGUGGCGGGUGCCUGUAAUCCCAGCUACUUGGGAGGCUGAGGCAGGAGAAUUGCUUGAAUGCGAGAGGCAGAGGUUGCAGUGAGCCCCGAUGGUACCCCUGCACUCUAGCCUGGGUGACAAGAGCAAAAUUCCGUUAAAAAAAAAAAAUUCUGCCUAUUGACUUCUUGUUCCAGUAGGUGAUGAGUGUUCUUUCCUGCCAGCAUGGCUGUUCAGCCCUGAUAGGCGCCAGCGUGGGCCUCGCGGAUGUGUAUGACAACGGUUCACUGCAGGCACCUGCCACGUGGGUGAUACCCUGCACAGUAUCUGUGAAUUCUCAGGGUGCCAGCCGGCUCUGCAGUGUGCUUAGUUUUCAGUUGUUGGCCACCAUCAACUUGCAGUCAACACACGAGCUGCAGCUACUGACCACCUUUCUCUUCAAUGUCCAGGAGGCCACAUGUGGCAGGAGAACUGGUGUGCAGGCGAAUUUGGCCCUCACCUAUGCCCCACCUCCAAAGACCUCUAAGGCAGUGGGGGACUCAGCCCAAGAUGGUGAUGGAGUACUGGACGGGGUGGUUUGACUCGUGGGGAGGCCCUCACAAUAUCUUGGAUUCUUCUGAGGUUUUGAAAACCGUGUCUGCCAUUGUGGAUGCCGGCUCCUCCAUCAACCUCUACAUGUUCCACGGAGGCACCAACUUUGGCUUCAUGAAUGGAGCCAUGCACUUCCAUGACUACAAGUCAGAUGUCACCAGCUAUGACUACGACGCUGUGCUGACAGAAGCCGGCGAUUACACGGCCAAGUACAUGAAGCUUCGAGACUUCUUCGGCUCCAUCUCAGGCAUCCCUCUCCCUCCCCCACCUGACCUUCUUCCCAAGAUGCCGUAUGAGCCCGUAACGCCAGUCUUGUACCUGUCACUGUGGGACGCCCUCAAGUACCUGGGGGAGCCAAUCAAGUCUGAAAAGCCCAUCAACAUGGAGAACCUGCCGGUCAAUGGGGGAAAUGGACAGUCCUUCGGGUACGUUCUCUAUGAGACCGGCAUCACCUCGCCUGGCAUCCUCAGCGGCCGCGUGCAUGAUCGGGGGCAGGUGUUUGUGAACACAGUAUCCAUAGGAUUCUUGGACUACAAGACAACGAAGAUUGCUCUCCCCCUGAUCCAGGGUUACACCGUGCUGAGGAUCUUGGUGGAGAAUCGUGGGCGAGUCAACUAUGGGGAGAAUAUUGAUGACCAGCGCAAAGGCCGGACUGCAGUGGUGCAAUCUCAGCUCACUGCAAGCUCCACCUCCCGGGUUCAUGCCAUUCUCCUGCCUCAGCCUCCCGAGUAGCUGGGACUACAGGCGCCUGCCACCGUGCCCAAAUUUAGCCCUUCCUUUUUAAAAAAAAAUCUAGCUAAAUGUGGGUGGUUUCAGGCUUAAUUGGAAAUCUCUAUCUGAAUGAUUCACCCCUGAAAAACUUCAGAAUCUAUAGCCUGGAUAUGAAGAAGAGCUUCUUUCAGAGGUUCGGCCUGGACAAAUGGAGUUCCCUCCCAGAAACACCCACAUUGCCUGCUUUCUUCUUGGGUAGCUUGUCCAUCAGCUCCACCCCUUGUGACACCUUUCUGAAGCUGGAGGGCUGGGAGAAGGGGGUUGUAUUCAUCAAUGGCCAGAACCUUGGACGUUACUGGAACAUUGGACCCCAGAAGACGCUUUACCUCCCAGGUCCCUGGUUGAGCAGCGGAAUCAACCAGGUCAUCAUUUUUGAGGAGACGAUGGCGGGCCCUGCAUUACAGUUCACGGAAACCCCCCACCUGGGCAGGAACCAGUACAUUAAGUGAGCGGUGGCACCCCCUCCUGCUGGUGCCAGUGGGAGACUGCCGCCUCCUCUUGACCUGAAGCCUGGUGGCUGCUGCCCCACCCCCUCACUGCAAAAGCAUCUCCUUAAGUAGCAACCUCAGGGACUGGGGGCUACAGUCUGCCCCUAUCUCAGCUCAAAACCCUAAGCCUGCAGGGAAAGGUGGGAUGGCUCUGGGCCUGGCUUUGUUGAUGAUGGCUUUCCUACAGCCCUGCUCUUGUGCCGAGGCUGUCGGGCUGUCUCUAGGGUGGGAGCAGCUAAUCACAUCGCCCAGCCUUUGGCCCUCAGAAAAAGUGCUGAAACAUGCCCCUGCACCGGACGUCACAGCCCUGCCAGCAUCUGCUGGACUCAGGCGUGCUCUUUGCUGGUUCCUGGGAGGCUUGGCCACAUCCCUCAUGGCCCCAUUUUAUCCCCGAAAUCCUGGGUGUGUCACCAGUGUAGAGGGUGGGGAAGGGGUGUCUCACCUGAGCUGACUUUGUUCUUCCUUCACAACCUUCUGAGCCUUCUUUGGGAUUCUGGAAGGAACUCGGCGUGAGAAACAUGUGACUUCCCCUUUCCCUUCCCACUCGCUGCUUCCCACAGGGUGACAGGCUGGGCUGGAGAAACAGAAAUCCUCACCCUGCGUCUUCCCGAGUUAGCAAGUGUCUCUGGUGUUCAGUGAGGAGGACAUGUGAGUCCUGGCAGAAGCCAUGGCCCGUGUCUGCACAUCCAGGGAGGAGGACAGAAGGCCCAGCUCACAUGUGAGUCCUGGCAGAAGCCAUGGCCCAUGUCUGCACAUCCAGGGAGGAGGACAGAAGGCCCAGCUCACAUAGCUGUGUAUGAGCUGGUUCUGUCAGAAAGUGAUGGAAUGGAAGGGAGCCUUCCUGCAAAUCCUCCUGUAAGGUGGAGAAGCCCCUUGGAUCACACUUCCAUGCAGACCUGAGCAGGACACACUCGUUUCCUCAGCCCCCGCCCAGUCAGUUGAGCCCGAUGGCCUUCCUGCUGAUCUGUAAGCAGGCUGAGCAACGGUUGUUCCACCUGGUGGAGAGUUCGUUCUUCUUGGACCCAGGGAGCUGCAUGUCAGGGUGUUGCUGCUUUGCUCAAGUGUCACUUAUCACGGAGGCCUUUGUGGCCACCCUACAGAGCACUGACCCCUCUCCACUGCUACCUCUGUCUCCCCGACUCACCCUCAUCCUCCAUACAACAGAUUGCAUCUGAAAUAAUAUGCAUUCGUUAUUGCCUGUC